AGAUGGUGCACAGAGAGACGCGGAAUCAACGAAUCUUGCUGGUACGGAUUGCCCAGCAUCACGUCAAAAAUGUCCCCGGAUCGGACAGAUGAGGAAGAUCUCGCCUGUCCGCCCAAAAUUCUCUUCACUAAAUGUUUGAAUGAGACAAUCGGUACCUACAUCAUCGAUUGGACUCCAUGGUUGUAGUUGGCCGUCUAUGAAUCCAGAAGAGAAUCCCCCAUGAUAGAAGAUGCCCUUAGCUCCUGAUGCAGCGUGGAUAAUGUUAUUUAUUAAGAUAAAUUUUGUAUAAUGCAGCCUCAUAUUUUAUUUGUUUUUGUAAUCUUAGGUCUAUUUUAAACCACUUUCUUUUGUUAGUUUUAAUGUAAGUUAGUCAUUAUAACUAAAAAUAAAAACUUAAAAAAGACGAAA